GACGAACGCUGGCGGCGUGCUUAACACAUGCAAGUCGAACGGAAAGGCCCUGCUUUUGUGGGUUUCUCGAGUGGCGAACGGGUGAGUAACACGUGAGUAACCUGCCCUUGACUUUGGGAUAACUUCAGGAAACUGGGGCUAAUACCGGAUAGGAGCUCCUGCUGCAUGGUGGGGGUUGGAAAGUUUCGGCGGUUGGGGAUGGACUCGCGGCUUAUCAGCUUGUUGGUGGGGUAGUGGCUUACCAAGGCUUUGACGGGUAGCCGGCCUGAGAGGGUGACCGGCCACAAUGGGACUGAGAGACGGCCCAGACUCCUACGGGAGGCAGCAGUGGGGAAUAUUGCACAAUGGGCGGAAGCCUGAGGCAGCAACGCCGCGUGCGGGAUGACGGCCUUCGGGUUGUAAACCGCUUUCGACUGUGACGAAGAGUGAGUGACGGUAAUGGGUAAAGAAGCACCGGCUAACUACGUG
rnacentral:rRNA from 1 species